AAGCAUGGGUUUUGGCCUCCCUUCAGCAUGCUGGCAUGCAUGUGCCCUGCUCUUUCUCCUGUGAUCAUCGGCAUGAUAGGAGGCGAGUGAGGAACUCAGUGUCUUCUGACACAGGCAUCUCACAACACCAGUGCAGCCGGACCGUUGUCUGGUAGGUCUCUGUGCACCCAGGAGGACCUGGGCCUGCGAGAAGUCUGGGGCCCACUGCUGGGUAUGCUCGUUUCUUGAGCAUCCGAGUCACCUUUACAGUCUGCGAUGAUUGACGAGGUCAAACAGGACUCACUUGCAUUGCCGGGUCUCUGUGGCGACAGGGAGGACUUGGAGAUCAAAGAAACUCUAGUAACGUGGAAAUUCAUGCUCCGAGUAGUGACAAGCCAGUGACUUUUUCUAUAGAAAGGGUACAAGACUCCAAUUUGAAAAUCUCAAGCAGCUUUAUAUUCAAGCAAGUUCAAUCCAAUCUCUUCCUGACUCACUGUCUCAUCAACAUGCAAAGCUCUCGAAGAGAAAUCAUCUCUUACUUGCCUGAGGGAGUUCUGGCAGACGUUUUGAAUGUGGAUGUGGAAGUUCUUUCCUCGUCUCCAUCCUGUCAAGAGCCGUGGAGCAAACAGCAGGAUGAGGAAGACAUGGAAGACAAAACUGAUAACGCACGUCACCUCGCUGCAGCGGGAGACAGAAUGUAACUUCAAUUCAGCCUCUUUGGGGUUUGGGUUCUGACCAAGUAAAUCGGGAAUGUUGUUAACAUAUCAAGCCAGCCUUUAUUGUUUGUCUUAACCCAAGAAAACACAAAAUGACACUUACUUUGUUGCUCAUUUAGGUUUUAACUUGUUGAUGUCCUCCCCACAAAAAUCAAACUUGAAAAUGCCUGGCAGGGACCCCUGAGAUCUAGGGUUUGAAAUGCUCUUUUGACAAGUUAAGAGGUUAAAAAGAAUUCAGGAACAUACUGUAGAGUCUCAUGGGGGAUUUUAGAAAAAAAAUAUGCAAAGCAUCUUUAAA
rnacentral:lncRNA from 1 species